GAUGAACGCUGGCGGCGUGCCUAAUACAUGCAAGUCGAGCGAACAGAUGAGGAGCUUGCUCCUCUGACGUUAGCGGCGGACGGGUGAGUAACACGUGGAUAACCUACCUAUAAGACUGGGAUAACUUCGGGAAACCGGAGCUAAUACCGGAUAAUAUAUUGAACCGCAUGGUUCAAUAGUGAAAGACGGUUUUGCUGUCACUUAUAGAUGGAUCCGCGCCGCAUUAGCUAGUUGGUAAGGUAACGGCUUACCAAGGCAACGAUGCGUAGCCGACCUGAGAGGGGGAUCGGCCGCACGGGAACGGAGACACGGUCCAGACGCCUAAGGGAGGCAGCAGUAGGGAAUCUUCCGCAAUGGGCGAAAGCCUGACGGAGCAACGCCGCGUGAGUGAUGAAGGUCUUCGGAUCGUAAAACUCUGUUAUUAGGGAAGAACAAAUGUGUAAGUAACUAUGCACGUCUUGACGGUACCUAAUCAGAAAGCCGCGGCUAACUACGUG
rnacentral:rRNA from 1 species